CCAUUUUAUCAUUCAAGUACAUAAAGGUUUCAGUAUGCAAUUAGCAUGAAAAAACAAAAUCUAUACAUGACAUGAAGCUUGCCUCAGAUUAGGAGGCUACUUAUUCUGAAACAAUGGUUAUGAGGCUCAAGAAGAACCACUAACAGAAAACAAAGGUAGAAACUUAAUAACUAGCUCAUGAGCAGUGUUAAGCAUCAGUGUAGAUUUGCUUUGGUAUGGCAGAUAUUGUGUCUGAGUGAAUACUCAUGGCAGAUAAUCUGUCUGCUCUAGAUAUUUUCCACCAUUUAUUGUAUGCAGCCAUGCUCCCUUCUUCAACUAGACAGUAUUCUAGGUCGGUAAGAGCAAGAACCUGCUGGUGGAUGAUGGUCUUUUAUAUUUUUAAUUCAACACAGGCUAUAAAUUUUCACGUCUGCUCUAAUAUUCUAUACCAACAAAUGUACUUUCACUUGGAAAUUUGAAGGAUUAUGAUCAUGAAUCCUUACUACAGAAAUCGAAAGGUAAAUUAUAUCUGCAAUGUGGCUUGCCGGAACUAAAGCUCCACUAGUGGAUUGUUGAUCCAAUAUUUUAUGUUGGAGGAUAGUUUCCCUAGAAGAAGCCUCCUCCAGAAACAAGUCACAGACAUGUCUCCUCUUGCAAGGAGGCAUGAUUGAGAAAUGCCGCAAUAUAGGACGAGAAGCUAAUAGUAUGAAGAAAGAUUCCCGGUUGAGAAUAAACAAUGGACAAUUUAAUGUACGUAGAGCAUGUCAUACAUGAAUCCGAGCUCAACCUCUACGAACUUUGAGUAAGCAGCUUGAUGGAGAUUAUUGACCAGUAGGAGGAUGUUGGCUCCUUGGUUCCUUCAAAGAAGCUGCUGAGUGAAAGUUUCUAAUAUUUGCUUGGUAGUUGAGCACGUGAGAACCCAAGUUUUCUCUCCAUACUUGAUAAUUCCAGAAAUAAACAGUGGAAUUGACAAGAACAAGAGGAAUUGGAGUUCCGAGGCACUGCAAUUC
rnacentral:lncRNA from 1 species